UACGAAGGGGGCUAGCGUUGCUCGGAAUCACUGGGCGUAAAGCGCACGUAGGCGGGUCCUUAAGUCAGGGGUGAAAUCCCGGAGCUCAACUCCGGAACUGCCUUUGAUACUGGGGAUCUUGAGUCCGGAAGAGGUGAGUGGAACUCCGAGUGUAGAGGUGAAAUGCGUAGAUAUCGGAAGGAACAUCAGUGGCGAAAGCGACUUCCUGGACCAUUACUGACGCUCAUGUGCGAAAGCGUGGGGAGCAAACAGG
rnacentral:rRNA from 1 species